rnacentral:rRNA from 1 species
GACAGAGGGUGCAAACGUUGCUCGGAAUCACUGGGCGUAAAGGGCGUGUAGGCGGGUAGAUAAGUCGGGCGUGAAAUCCCUAGGCUCAACCUAGGAACUGCACUCGAAAACUGUUUAUCUUGAGUGCCGGAGAGGAAAGCGGAAUUCCUGGUGUAGAGGUGAAAUUCGUAGAUAUCAGGAGGAACACCGAUGGCGAAGGCAGGUCUCUGGGCCACUACUGACGCUG